rnacentral:rRNA from 1 species
UGUUUAAAUUGCAGGUGAAGAAAGGGCAAGGCAAGACCGGUGCCAGCCGCCGCGGUAAUACCGGCUGCUCGAGUGAUGGCCACUAUUACUGGGUUUAAAGCGUCCGUAGCUUGACUGAUAGGUCUCUUGGGAAAUCUUAACGCUUAACGUUAAGGCGUCUAAGAGAUACCGUCAGUCUUGGAACUGGGAGAGGUAAACCGUACUUCGCGGGUAGGAGUGAAAUCUUGUAAUCCUCGAGGGACGACCUAUGGCGAAGGCAGUUUACCAGAACAGCUUCGACAGUGAGGGACGAAAGCUGGGGGAGCAAACGGGAUUAGAUACCCCGGUAGUCCCAGCCGUAAACAAUGUGCGUUAGGUGUAUCGGUAACCACGCGUUACUGAUGCGCCGCAGAGAAAUCGUGAAACGCACCACCUGGGAAGUACGGUCGCAAGGCUGAAACUUAAAGG